rnacentral:rRNA from 1 species
GGGGCUUAACACAUGCAAGUCGAGGGGCAGCAUUUUCUUUUGCUUGCAAACUGAAGAUGGCGACCGGCGCACGGGUGAGUAACACGUAUCCAACCUGCCGAUAACUCCGGGAUAGCCUUUCGAAAGAAAGAUUAAUACCGGAUAGUAUACGAAUAUCGCAUGAUAUUUUUAUUAAAGAAUUUCGGUUAUCGAUGGGGAUGCGUUCCAUUAGUUUGUUGGCGGGGUAACGGCCCACCAAGACUACGAUGGAUAGGGGUUCUGAGAGGAAGGUCCCCCACAUUGGAACUGAGACACGGUCCAAACUCCUACGGGAGGCAGCAGUGAGGAAUAUUGGUCAAUGGGCGCGAGCCUGAACCAGCCAAGUAGCGUGAAGGAUGAAGGCUCUAUGGGUCGUAAACUUCUUUUAUAUGGGAAUAAAGUUUUCCACGUGUGGAAUUUUGUAUGUACCAUAUGAAUAAGGAUCGGCUAACUCCGUGCCAGCAGCCGCGGUAAUACGGAGGAUCCGAGCGUUAUCCGGAUUUAUUGGGUUUAAAGGGAGCGUAGGUGGAUUGUUAAGUCAGUUGUGAAAGUUUGCGGCUCAACCGUAAAAUUGCAGUUGAAACUGGCAGUCUUGAGUACAGUAGAGGUGGGCGGAAUUCGUGGUGUAGCGGUGAAAUGCUUAGAUAAUCACGAAGAACUCCGAUUGCGAAAGCAGCUCACUAGACUGUCACUGACACUGAUGCUCGAAAGUGUGGGUAUCAAACAGGAUUAGAUACCCUGGUAGUCCACACAGUAAACGAUGAAUACUCGCUGUUUGCGAUAUACAGUAAGCGGCCAAGCGAAAGCAUUAAGUAUUCCACCUGGGGAGUACGCCGGCAACGGUGAAACUCAAAGGAAUUGACGGGGGCCCGCACAAGCGGAGGAACAUGUGGUUUAAUUCGAUGAUACGCGAGGAACCUUACCCGGGCUUAAAUUGCAACAGAAUAUAUUGGAAACAGUAUAGCCGUAAGGCUGUUGUGAAGGUGCUGCAUGGUUGUCGUCAGCUCGUGCCGUGAGGUGUCGGCUUAAGUGCCAUAACGAGCGCAACCCUUAUCUUUAGUUACUAACAGGUUAUGCUGAGGACUCUAGAGAGACUGCCGUCGUAAGAUGUGAGGAAGGUGGGGAUGACGUCAAAUCAGCACGGCCCUUACGUCCGGGGCUACACACGUGUUACAAUGGGGGGUACAGAAGGCGGCUACCUGGUGACAGGAUGCUAAUCCCAAAAACCUCUCUCAGUUCGGAUCGAAGUCUGCAACCCGACUUCGUGAAGCUGGAUUCGCUAGUAAUCGCGCAUCAGCCAUGGCGCGGUGAAUACGUUCCCGGGCCUUGUACACACCGCCCGUCAAGCCAUGAAAGCCGGGGGUACCUGAAGUACGUAACCGCAAGGAGCGUCCUAGGGUAAAACUGGUAAUUGG